AGCUUCAGUAGCGUAUAUUAAAGUUGUUGCAGUUAAAAAGCUCGUAGUCGCAUUUCUGGCGAGAGGAUCCGGUCCGACCUUUUGGUGGGUUCUUGGGUCUCUUUCGCCAUCCUUGAGUGGUCCGUUCUGGCAUUAGGUUGUCGGAGCGUCAGCCGCUCAUCGUUUACUGUGAGAAAAUUAGAGUGUUCAAAGCAGGCUUAUGCCGUUGAAUAUAUUAGCAUGGAAUAAUAAGAUAGGCCCUCGGUACUAUUUUGUUGUUUUUCGCACCAAGGUAAUGAUGAACAGGGACAGUUGGGGGUAUUUGUAUUUCGUUGUCAGAGGUGAAAUUCUUAGAUUUACGAAAGACAAACUACUGCGAAAGCAUUUACCAAGGAUGUUUUCA
rnacentral:rRNA from 1 species